GGGAAUAUUGGACAAUGGGCGAAAGCAUGAUCCAGCAAUGCCGCGGGAGUGAUGAAGGCCUUAGGGUUGUAAAGCUCUUUUACCCGGGAUGAUAAUGGCAGUACCGGGAGAAUAAGCACCGGCUAAAUCCGUGCCAGCAGCCGCGGUAAUACGGAGGGGGCUAGCGUUGUUCGGAAUUACUGGGCGUAAAGCGCACGUAGGCGGCUUUGUAAGUUAGAGGUGAAAGCCCGGAGCUCAACUCCGGAAUUGCCUUUAAGACUGCAUCGCUCGAAUCAUGGAGAGGUGAGUGGAAUUCCGAGUGUAGAGGUGAAAUUCGUAGAUAUUCGGAAGAACACCAGUGGCGAAGGCGACUCACUGGACAUGUAUUGACGCUGAGGUGCGAAAGCGUGGGGAGCAAAC
rnacentral:rRNA from 1 species